GACGAACGCUGGCGGCGUGCUUAACACAUGCAAUUCGAACGAUGAAGCCGGAGCUUGCUCCGGUGGAUUAGUGGCGAACGGGUGAGUAACACGUGAGCAAUCUGCCCUUGACUCUGGGAUAACUGCGGGAACCUGUAGCUAAUACCGGAUACGACACCUUGGGGCAUCCCAGGGUGUGGAAAGAAUUUCGGUCAAGGAUGAGCUCGCGGCCUAUCAGCUAGUUGGUGAGGUAAUGGCUCACCAAGGCGACGACGGGUAGCCGGCCUGAGAGGGUGACCGGCCACACUGGAACUGAGACACGGUCCAGACUCCUACGGGAGGCAGCAGUGGGGAAUAUUGCACAAUGGGCGAAAGCCUGAUGCAGCAACGUCGCGUGAGGGAUGAAGGCCUUCGGGUUGUAAACCUCUUUUAGCAGGGAAGAAGCGAAAGUGACGGUACCUGCAGAAAAAGCACCGGCUAACUACGUGCCAGCCGCCGCCGUAA
rnacentral:rRNA from 1 species